CGCUCGGGGCUUUGUGUACCUCUGCGGGCGCCGUCCUCCUCCCCCGUUUCCAUGGCUGCGGGCGGCGGGGGGAGCAGCAACGGCGCUGCCCGGGUCCCCCCUGCCUCAUCCCUCCGUCCGGCCACUGGACGCGGAGGAGCGGGACCUUGGAUUGUGACCUGCGGGCGAAAGAGUCGGUUAACCAACUAGGCCGAAGCGGGAAGGCAAGGAGCGUAGGCCGCAGGGCGUCCCACCUCCGCCUCCUCCGGCCGCCGCGGCCCCUUUAAGACGGAAGCCGCCGCCGCUGACUGAACGGGGGGAAGGGAGGGGAAAGCGGGAAGGGCGACACCACUAGGCUGUGGCUCAGAGGGGGAACAGGAAAGAAUAGCAACCCCCGCCCCGCCUUCUCAGCCAGUUUGUCGCCUGAGACUAGGAAAAACUAGGACCAGCAGUUUUUACGACUUAAGAAAAUUGCCUUAAGAGCCGUUCUGACUGCGGAACUCUUUUUCCCCGCCUCGUCCCCUCCGGGAUCACCCUCCCCGCAUCCCGCCUUGGGUUCUCCCGGGUGUAAACAGUCCAUUGAAUUAAGCCGGAGCGGAGCCCGGCGGAACGACCCAAGUCCCCGAGGGCGGCGGGUGGAGGAGGUUGGCUCAGAAGUUCCGCGUCCCUGAACCCGCCAACCUGGGGACCCAGCGGCCCUCCCCCAGCGCCCGCGGGGACGGAGGCAGUGCCUGGGAACCUCCCGGACUGGAUUGGAGUCCACACGCUGCCGCCCAGGAGCCCGUUGAUUCGGGGCAAAUCAUCGUCAGGUUCUGUGCCUCGGUUUUCUGUUCUGCAAAAUGGGUGAUUGGACCUUAACCUCCCAGCGCUGACAGAGCCAAAUGAAAUACAUGUUACCUACCAGGGCUGGGUUUACUGAGGCUCUUCUGGAUACUGUGAACUUGAACCUGAACUUGGGAAAGGGAAGAUCCAAGAAGAGUUGUCGAUUUUUCAGUGCUUUCAGCUCUGCACUUGUUAGGACAGAGUGAUGAUGACUUCCGAGUUCCUUACAUGCUGGACCAGAAACUGGUGGGCCAGCGUGCCCCAGUGAUACAUGUUCAUUGUUCCAGCAGUGGAGAAGUAGCGGAGUUGGUACAACCUUUCUGGAGGGCAAUUUGGCAGUAUGGAUCAAAAUUUUAAAUUUGUAGAACCUUCGGCCCAGCAAUUUCAUUUCAAGGAUUUAAUUCAUCUCAAAGAGCUCCCAUAGGAUCAACUCAACCAGAAGGCAGAGGGUGAAGGAGUCCGGUGAUACCAUCUAUAGAGAUCAUCCUCUCAGGCCUCAAAGUAGAGCAGCAUGAGGCAGAAAAUGGAUCUGGGAGAAGAAAUAGCUAAUGCUGUGGCAGCUAUCUUGGAGCUGUGAAGUAAUAAGCUGGAACGGAAGGACCCCACCAUCACCACCAACAACAAAAAGAUCCUGGAUCUUUGGUAAAAUAGCUAACUGCUGACCUCUAAAUUUUGUGUGGAAAGAAGAGGAAACCCCUCCUUUGUGUAAGCCGCUGUCAUUUGGGGUUUCUGUUAUUGGGUAUAAAUGGAUUCCUACAUGGUCUGCAUGUUGUGUUAUCAGCUUCCCAACUUGCCAGCUUGCCUCCCCUGGGGCGAGCCCCCCAAUUCAUUCCCUGCGUAGCAGCCACAGGUAUGUUUUGAGGCAUACAAGUCAGUUCCCUUCAGUGCUGAAAACUUUGCAAAGGUUUCUCAUCAUCUACAAUAGUCCCUGGGCAUGGUGUUAUUUUCUGGCUAAAUAAGGGUUUUCAAGCAUCUCAGCACCUUGAUGAGUUUUUUCUGAUGAAUAUUGAGAUAUUAAUCUCUCACUCAACUCAUAUGACACUGCUGUUAUUGCAAUAGCAUUUCAAAUAGAGUAUUAAAUUUAACUUUACCUGACUUUAAAGAAAAAGAAGAAACGGAAGUAAAAUUGAAGUGCUUGAUGAUUUUCAAAUAGUUUUUCUUCACACAAGGGUUAUUAUAUCUUAAUAGAUCUCUCUAAGGAAAUUAUUAAGGAGACAUGAAAACUGAGUACAAUGUGGGAUUGGAUCGGAUUCUGGACCAGGAAAAGGACAUGAUUGGGAAAACUGGCAAUAUUUUAAUAAGAUCUGUAGUUCUGUUGAUAGUAUUAUAUCAGUGUUGAUUUCAUGGUUUCAAUGACUGUAUAGGGCAUAUAAAAGGUUAACAUUAGGGGAAACCGGUGAAGGGCAUAUUGAGUCCUCUGCAUUAUUUUUUCAAAUUCUCCGUAAUUCUAAAAUUACUUCAAAAUAAAAAGUUUUUUUAAAAAACCACUUUAAGGAAAAAAUUUAUAAAACACAAAAGAGUAGAGUAAGUUUUUUAUUGAAUUACAAUUGACAUACCAGAUGAGUAGUUUCUAAUUAUGUUCUGAUUCAAGAGAAUAUGGAGCACUCCCUGGUGUGAAAUGUGAUGGCAUGAGCACUUCUAGAAUUCCUUUCAUUUUCUCUUCCUAAACUUCCAAAUUUUUGUUAAUUAUUUUUAUGUUGUCAAGAUUUUAGAUCAUUGACUUGUUUGUGGGCUUCCUCAUUGCUACUGGAGCUGUUUAAUCCUAAUUAUGUAUUUAACUAAUUCUGCACUCACCACUCUGUUUCCUGAAUUCUUUACUUUGGUUUAUUUCUUUAUUGGAUUUCAUAAAUGAAUACUUUAAAAAAAAUGUCUCUGACUCUUAAAGAUAGAGAACUGAGGGUUGAUGGA